rnacentral:rRNA from 1 species
UGGGGAACCUGCCCCAUAGUCUGGGAUACCACUUGGAAACAGGUGCUAAUACCGGAUAAGAAAGCGGAUCGCAUGAUCAGCUUUUAAAAGGCGGCGUAAGCUGUCGCUAUGGGAUGGCCCCGCGGUGCAUUAGCUAGUUGGUAAGGUAAAGGCUUACCAAGGCGAUGAUGCAUAGCCUAGUUGAGAGACUGAUCGGCCACAUUGGGACUGAGACACGGCCCAAACUCCUACGGGAGGCAGCAGCC